rnacentral:rRNA from 1 species
AGCAGCCGCGGUAAUUCCAGCUCCAAUAGCGUAUAUUAAAGUUGUUGCAGUUAAAAAGCUCGUAGUUGAAUUUCGGGAUCAAGGCGUCGGUCGUGCUUCGGUACGUACUGGCGUCAUUGAUUUCUCCCUUCUGACGAACCAUGAUGCCAUUAACUUGGUGUUAUGGGAAAUCAGGACUGUUACUUUGAAAAAAUUAGAGUGUUUAAAGCAGGCUAACGCUUGAAUACAUUAGCAUGGAAUAAUGAAAUAGGACGUUCGAUCUUAUUUUGUUGGUUUCUAAGAUUGACGUAAUGAUUAAUAGGGAUAGUUGGGGGCAUUAGUAUUCAAUUGUCAGAGGUGAAAUUCUUGGAUUUAUUGAAGACUAACUACUGCGAAAGCAUUUGCCAAGGAUGUUUUCAUUAAUCAAGAACGAAAGUUAGGGGAUCGAAGACGAUCAGAUACCGUCGUAGUCUUAACCAUAAACUAUGCCGACUAGGGAUCGGGCGAUGUUGUUUCAAUGACUCGUUCGGCACCUUACGGG